rnacentral:rRNA from 1 species
CACGUAGGGCGCAAGCGUUGUCCGGAAUUAUUGGGCGUAAAGAGCUCGUAGGCGGUCUGUUGCGUCCGCUGUGAAAACCCGGGGCUUAACCCCUGGCUUGCAGUGGAUACGGACAGACUAGAGGUAGGUAGGGGAGAAUGGAAUUCCCGGUGUAGCGGUGAAAUACGCAGAUAUCGGGAGGAACACCGGUGGCGAAGGCGGUUCUCUGGGCCUUACCUGACGCUGAGGGGCGAAAGCUAGGGGAGCGAACAGG